rnacentral:rRNA from 1 species
AUGGAUAAAGGCAUGUUAAUCCAGCUAUGGUUCAUCAUCUCAAGAAAUUUUCCAUGUAAUGAUGGGAGUUCAUUUCAAUGUGAGGUUCGACAUAUGUCACUUGAUUUUGUUAGUAAUAAUGCCACUGCAGAGGAAAUUCUUGCUCCCUGUCCCCGCACGAUAUUAGUCCGAUGGGAGAAGGACUGCAUUAAGACUCCUUUGCGUGUGGCCACAUAUAAAUUCAUGUCCUCGGAAGCAUUGAAGUCAUCCUCAGUCAAAACACACAUGGGAAAUUUGAAGCAUAUUCACUACCUAGAUUGUUCUAAUUCUUGUAUGUCUGAACUGCCUGAAGCCACU